GACGAACGCUGGCGGCGUGCCUAAUACAUGCAAGUAGAACGCUGAAGAGAGGAGCUUGCUCUUCUUGGAUGAGUUGCGAACGGGUGAGUAACGCGUAGGUAACCUGCCUUGUAGCGGGGGAUAACUAUUGGAAACGAUAGCUAAUACCGCAUAACAAUGGAUGACCCACGUCAUUUAUUUGAAAGGGGCAAAUGCUCCACUACAAGAUGGACCUGCGUUGUAUUAGCUAGUAGGUGAGGUAACGGCUCACCUAGGCGACGAUACAUAGCCGACCUGAGAGGGUGAUCGGCCACACUGGGACUGAGACACGGCCCAGACUCCUACGGGAGGCAGCAGUAGGGAAUCUUCGGCAAUGGGGGCAACCCUGACCGAGCAACGCCGCGUGAGUGAAGAAGGUUUUCGGAUCGUAAAGCUCUGUUGUAAGUCAAGAACGAGUGUGAGAGUGGAAAGUUCACACUGUGACGGUAGCUUACCAGAAAGGGACGGCUAACUACGUG
rnacentral:rRNA from 1 species